GGUCAUUUCCUCAUCACUGCUCUUAGGAAAUAAUAGGAACCAGAUAUCAUGACAUGGGUUGCAGCAGCUUUAACUAACUUCUCUUCUUCAAAUCAACAAGGGACGUUAAGUGAUCCCUGCAUCAUAUGAUUGUCAAUUUAUACAAAUGAGAGACAUCAUGGACUUCAUCUCAGUCUCAUUACUGAUCCUACUGCUACACACUCCAGUUUCAGGCUCUUUCAAAUUUCUUUCCUGGCAUGAGACUUGUCAGGAAUACAGUAUUUGUGCUUUAAAGCAGACCAAAGUGACACUGAGGUGCUCU